GCCCUAACCGAUUUACUAAAAUCAUGGGAUCCAGUGAAAAAUAAGAGUUUAAUUAGUCAACUCCAACGAUUAAUUAAGAAGCUUUUCAUUCGCAAAAAUUUUGAGAAAGAUUAAUUAGUCACAUUUUGAAGUCUUAGGGUUGCAUAGUUCGUGAGAUUGAACCCAUCUAUCCACCUGAAAAUCAGAUUCAUGAGUUUGCCAUAUUUGGAAUUUUGAGGAGUAAAGGAAGAUGAUGUAUUUGGAUGUGGAUAUCCAAUAAGUGUUCGAAAACAUAGAUCAUUUAUUAAUUUGACAUGGAAGAUGGGUACUUCUACGCUAUAUAUGAUGGAUUGCUUCUGUGAGAAAACAUGGAGCCACUCACUACUCCAGUUCAAGCUCGGAUAUUGCCAACAAUGCCCUGAUACUCGGGUCAAAUGGCGGUGCCAUCGAUGAAUGUGAUGGUUGCCAUAAGGCCUACAGUUAUGCUGGAGAAUGUGGUUUUAGGACUUGUUUGGCUUGCAAUGAGAAAGGUCUCAUCAAAUGCCAUUUCUGCUCUAGGGUUUCCCUGCAAAAGCCAAUUGAAGGAGGUCUGAGCGCCGCCGCACCGGAGAUGAUAGGGGUGCCGUACGACAAAAAAAAAUUACCAAUUGGUGCUCUGUUAAUUUGGUAACUUGAAGUAUUUAUUAUUAUUAUUAUUAAUAAUAGUCAAUUAUUUAUUCUUAUAAUUCAACAUUUUAAUUUAUAUUUAUUAAUUAUUUAAUUUGAAUUAUUUCUCAUGUUUUAUAUAUUUAUAAUUUUACUUUUCAUUCCUACAAUAUUUAUUUAUUAUUUUUGUAAAAUUUCUUUUUCAGAAUAUUUUUUAUUUAUUAUUUUAUGCAAAUUUUAUAUU